UCCCUGACGGUCCAGUGGUUAGGACUCCAUGCUUCCAGUUCGGCGGGGCACAGGUUCAAUCCCUGGUCAGGGAA
rfam:TPA: Bos taurus chromosome 16, whole genome shotgun sequence.